UCCAUCGUGAGGUGGAAUCUGAAAGAAGCCGGCGGCAAACAUCUGACCUAACGAACAGAAACUUCAUCAAGACUCUUCAGGGACAGCUUAAGGACCGCCAGACCAAGUAUAUCAAGUCGAUGCGUUAUAUGGCGCGCCACCGCA
rfam:Prevotella multisaccharivorax DSM 17128 genomic scaffold scaffold_3, whole genome shotgun sequence.